rnacentral:rRNA from 2 species
NCUAGAUAUAUAAACAUGACGAAGUCNNUUUUUUCGAGAGUUUGAUCCUGGCUCAGGAUGAACGCUGGCUGUGUGCCUAAUACAUGCAUGUCGAGCGAAGUACUUGUACUUAGCGGCGAAUGGGUGAGUAACACGUACUCAACGUACCCUUCAGAUUGGCAUAGCGGUUGGAAACAACCGAUAAUUCCAAAUACUCGUUUUUAUCGCAUGAUAAUUACGUAAAAGACGCCUUUAAAGCGUCGCUGGAGGAGCGGGGUGCGCAACAUUAGCUAGUUGGUGAGGUAACGGCCCACCAAGGCAAUGAUGUUUAGCGGGGUUGAGAGACUGAACCGCCACACUGGGACUGAGAUACGGCCCAGACUCCUACGGGAGGCAGCAGUAGGGAAUAUUCCACAAUGGACGAAAGUCUGAUGGAGCGACACAGCGUGCAGGAUGAAGGCCUAUGGGUUGUAAACUGCUGUGGUAAGGGAAUAAAAAACAGUGUAGGAAAUGCCACUGUAUUGAAUGUACCUUAUUAGAAAGCAACGGCUAACUAUGUGCCAGCAGCCGCGGUAAUACAUAGGUUGCAAGCGUUAUCCGGAAUUAUUGGGCGUAAAGCGUCUGUAGGUUGUUUGUUAAGUCUGGCGUUAAAUUUUGGGGCUCAACCCCAAACCGCGUUGGAUACUGGCAAACUAGAGUUAUGUAGAGGUUAGCGGAAUUCCUUGUGAAGCGGUGAAAUGCGUAGAUAUAAGGAAGAACACCAACAUGGCGAAGGCAGCUAACUGGACAUAUACUGACACUGAGAGACGAAAGCGUGGGGAGCAAACAGGAUUAGAUACCCUGGUAGUCCACGCCCUAAACGUUGAUCAUUAGCUGAUGGGGAACUCAUCGGCGCAGCUAACGCAUUAAAUGAUCCGCCUGAGUAGUACGUUCGCAAGAAUAAAACUUAAAGGAAUUGACGGGGCACCGCACAAGCGGUGGAGCAUGUGGUUUAAUUUGAUNNUACGCGUAGAACCUUACCCACUCUUGACAUCUUCUGCAAAGCUAUAGAGAUAUAGUGGAGGUUAACAGAAUGACAGAUGGUGCAUGGUUGUCGUCAGCUCGUGUCGUGAGAUGUUCGGUUAAGUCCUGCAACGAGCGCAACCCCUGUCCUUAGUUACUAACAUUUAGUUGAGCACUCUAAGGAGACUGCCUGAGUAAUCGGGAGGAAGGUGGGGACGACGUCAAAUCAUCAUGCCUCUUACGAGUGGGGCAACACACGUGCUACAAUGGCCAGUACAAAGUGAAGCAACCUGGUGACAGUGAGCAAACCACAAAAAACUGGUCUCAGUUCGGAUUGGAGUCUGCAACUCGACUCCAUGAAGUCGGAAUCGCUAGUAAUCGUAGAUCAGCUACGCUACGGUGAAUACGUUCUCGGGUCUUGUACACACCGCCCGUCGAACCAUGGGAGCUGGUAAUGCCCGAAGUCGGUUUAUUAACAAACUGCCUAAGGCAGGACUGG